rnacentral:rRNA from 1 species
UACGUAGGGACCAAGCGUUGUCCGGAAUCAUUGGGCGUAACGAGCGUGUAGGCGGCUUGUUAAGUCUUGCGUGAAAUCUCGGGGCUCAACCCCGAGCGGUCGUGAGAAACUGGCAGGCUAGAGUGCGGGAGAGGAGAGUGGAAUUCCUGGUGUAGCGGUGAAAUGCGCAGAUAUCAGGAAGAACACCCGUGGCGAAGGCGGCUCUCUGGAACGCAACUGACGCUGAGACGCGAAAGCGUGGGGAGCAAACAGG